AAGUAUUUCCACAAAUAAUCAUGAGACUAUGUAGAAGGCAACAGAUGCUUAAUGGGAGAUACUGAUAAAUACUGUGGGGUUCCAGAAGGGAGAGAGAUUCCAGCAUGGGGAAUGGGGAGAGGUGGCACAUCAGUUUGUUUUUGCCAUAUAACAGACCACUCCAAGAUUUAGUGGCUUAAAACAACAUCUACUUAUUACUUCUCACAAUUCUGCAGUGGGCUGGGAAGUUCUAUUCAGGGCUGGCUCAGUAGGGCUGGAUAAUUUAGCAUGGUCUCAUUCACACAUCUAGGAUGACUAGGAUAAGAUGGCCUCUUAUCUCCCAGAAGUCUAGUCUAGUUUCCUCCCAUGAAAGAAGGUUCCUAUCAGCAAGAGAGAGCAAGCCCUGAGCACACACUUUUAAGCUCCUGGCUGUGUCCCCUUUGCUAAUGUCCACUGGCCAAAACAAGCCGCAUGGUCAAGACCAAGAUUCAAAGCAUAGAGAAAUAGAGUCUACCUUUGGUGGGAAGAGAUGCAAUGUCACAUGCAAAGAGACCUCAGAGGGAUGAGAAAAAUGUAGAGGUAGAACCUUCUUCUGCUUCUCUUUUUUUUUCAGUAAGGCAGGAUCAGAGAAAGCUUUAUAGAAAGGAAGGGGCUUGAAGGAUGGUGAGGCCUGGGACAUGUGACAGAUUUCCCAUACAUGGAGAGAAAACCCACAGAGGCAAGAUAGAUGAAGGGUUUGCAAGGACUUCCUCUGGGCUAGUGGAAGGUUGGGAAAGUAAGUUGAAACAAAAUCAUGGAGGAGAUGGAGUGUGAUCUUUAAGAACUUGGACAGUCUCCAAUGGCCUUCUAAGAGGUUGACCUCUGCUUGUAGGGGCACAGGCCUUCCAAGAGAACCUGCCCCACCUGCAGCUCGGCCUGUUUUCUCCUGUUCCUCCUGUUUCUGCAGUUCCAUCACCACUGACUCAACACUCAAAGGACCUAUGGUAGCCAGUCUACAGGCUGCCAAAGACCUACUAUGGCCUGUCCUGAAAAGUAUGCCUUGGUUUGCAAGUGACUCUCUUCCUUCAGUGUUCGAGGCAUUCAGCUACAGAUGAG
rnacentral:lncRNA from 13 species